AUUUUUUUUCCAACCCAAUAAUGUGGCUGCUUUUUAUUAUUAUUAAACUAGCCUUUCAAUGUGCUUGGUUUCUUUUUCAAAAUUUGGCCAAUUAGCAUGACUGUCUGGCUUCUUUUAACUAUUUGACUAGCCAGAUGGUGUGGUUGUGCUAUUUGUUCUAUCAGCUGGACAAAUCUUUCUGCUUUUAUUUGUUCAGUCAACUCGACUGAUGCGUUUUUUUUCCUUUCGGC
rnacentral:lncRNA from 1 species